CUGAGUACGGCGGAACACGUGAAAUUCCGUCGGAAUCCGGGAGGACCAUCUCCCAAGGCUAAAUACUCCCUAGUGACCGAUAGUGAACCAGUACCGUGAGGGAAAGGUGAAAAGCACCCCGGAAGGGGAGUGAAACAGUUCCUGAAACCGUGUGCCUACAAGUAGUUAGAGCCCGUUAAUGGGUGAUAGCGUGCCUUUUGUAGAAUGAACCGGCGAGUUACGAUUUGUUGCAAGGUUAAGCGGAAAAAGCGGAGCCGUAGCGAAAGCGAGUCUGAAUAGGGCGCAUAAGUAACAGGUCGUAGACCCGAAACCAGGUGAUCUACCCAUGUCCAGGAUGAAGGUAAGGUAAUACUUACUGGAGGUCCGAACCCACGCACGUUGAAAAGUGCGGGGAUGAGGUGUGGGUAGCGGAGAAAUUCCAAUCGAACUUGGAGAUAGCUGGUUCUCUCCGAAAUAGCUUUAGGGCUAGCCUCGAGGUAAAGAGUCAUGGAGGUAGAGCACUGUUUGGACUAGGGGCCCUUCUCGGGUUACCGAAUUCAGAUAAACUCCGAAUGCCAUGUACUUAUACUCGGGAGUCAGACUGCGAGUGAUAAGAUCCGUAGUCGAAAGGGAAACAGCCCAGACCACCAGUUAAGGUCCCCAAAUAUAUGUUAAGUGGAAAAGGAUGUGGGGUUGCUUAGACAACCAGGAUGUUGGCUUAGAAGCAGCCACCAUUGAAAGAGUGCGUAAUAGCUCACUGGUCGAGUGACCCCGCGCCGAAAAUGUACCGGGGCUAAACAUAUUACCGAAACUGUGGAUGAACCUCUUUAGAGGUUCGUGGUAGGAGAGCGUUCUAAGGGCGGUGAAGUCAGACCGGAAGGACUGGUGGAGCGCUUAGAAGUGAGAAUGCCGGUAUGAGUAGCGAAAGAAGGGUGAGAAUCCCUUCCACCGAAUAUCUAAGGUUUCCUGAGGAAGGCUCGUCCGCUCAGGGUUAGUCGGGACCUAAGCCGAGGCCGAUAGGCGUAGGCGAUGGACAACAGGUAGAGAUUCCUGUACCAGUGCUAAUUGUUUAACCGAUGGGGUGACACAGAAGGAUAGGGAAUCGCACGAAUGGAAAUGUGCGUCCAAGCAGUGAGUGUGAGAAGUAGGCAAAUCCGCUUCUCGCGAAGCAUGAGCUGUGAUGGGGAAGGAAAUUAAGUACGGAAGUUCCUGAUUUCACGCUGUCAAGAAAAGCCUCUAGGAAGAGUAGUACUGCCCGUACCGCAAACCGACACAGGUAGAUGAGGAGAGAAUCCUAAGGUGAGCGAGAGAACUCUCGUUAAGGAACUCGGCAAAAUGACCCCGUAACUUCGGGAGAAGGGGUGCUCUAUUAGGGUGCAAGCCCGAGAGAGCCGCAGUGAAUAGGCCCAGGCGACUGUUUAGCAAAAACACAGGUCUCUGCAAAACCGUAAGGUGACGUAUAGGGGCUGACGCCUGCCCGGUGCUGGAAGGUUAAGAGGA
rnacentral:rRNA from 1 species